rnacentral:rRNA from 1 species
AACGAACGCUGGCGGCAUGCCUAACACAUGCAAGUCGAACGAGACCUUCGGGUCUAGUGGCGCACGGGUGCGUAACGCGUGGGAACCUGCCCUUAGGUUCGGAAUAACUCCCCGAAAGGGGUGCUAAUACCGGAUAAUGUCUUCGGACCAAAGAUUUAUCGCCUUUGGAUGGGCCCGCGUUGGAUUAGCUAGUUGGUAGGGUAAAAGCCUACCAAGGCGACGAUCCAUAGCUGGUCUGAGAGGAUGAUCAGCCACACUGGGACUGAGACACAGCCCAGACUCCUACGGGAGGCAGCAGUGGGGAAUAUUGGACAAUGGGCGAAAGCCUGAUCCAGCAAUGCCGCGUGAGUGAUGAAGGCCUUAGGGCUGUAAAGCUCUUUUGCCCGGGAUGAUAAUGACAGUACCGGGAGAAUAAGCUCCGGCUAACUCCGUG